ACUCGUUGGAUGUUGUUGUAGCAAGCAUCACUAUAAUUGUUCCCACAGGACUGUGCUAAAGGCGAGAAAAUCCCACAGAUGCACAUCGAUGGAAGGACUCGAGUCAUAGAGAGCAGCAUAUAAGAGAGAUUUGGGGGUGAAAAAACACCCAGAAAACACAGUAACCACCCAGCAACUUCCAUAAAACUAUGCCCUAAACCCCACUGAACACCUCCAGA